rnacentral:lncRNA from 1 species
CACAACUCCCCCAUAUGGUGGCUGUCCAGCACCAAAACCAAUAUUCUAAGUAUGUCCCUCCAGCCCCCUUACCCCACCAGAAUAGGCCUUCUCCUCCCUCUGGACCUCAACACCAUCACCCUAGUUCACCCAGCCACUAUUCAUACAUGUACCACUACAAACACUCUCAGCCUGGUAGUCCCAGUAAGCCUACCACUGGCUCUCAUCCUCCGCUCUACCAGCAAUAGUGUCCCUGACCCCAAUUUACAGCACAAUCAGAAGUAUGUAGCACCUCCAGCUCCUUCUAACGCUCCAAACAUCCAGCAUCACUACCCUCCAUACCAAUUCCACCAAAAACAGCCAAAUCCUAGGUUCCAUACCCCAGCUCCUACCCACCUCUUGAAAAUAACCCUUUCUCUCUGUAUGGUUUUCGGCACCCUGAACCUGAUGGACCACCCGCUCCACCCCAAAUUUCUACAGCUCCAUACUUACCAUACCCGCAUGCCAAGAGAGAGGCCCACCGGCACCUCAGUCCACUGAUUGAAAUGUGAGAUGACAACCCAACCAUGCCUGGGAAGAAGGGCAGGCAAGAGACAGGUCAAGGCAGGCAGGGGGCAGAAAACCAGAGGGGUCAACAGUACCGGACAGCAGGCAGGCUCAGGGUGAUCCAGAGGGAGGCAAAGGUUUUGAAGGCCACGGUUUUCAAGGGAAGGUCUAUGGUCCAUCAGCUGAGCACAACCCCCACUCCAGUGAAUGGCUGUCGAUGAGGCCUCUGGUCCAGUGUAAUGACAACCUCAUGAUGCUCACUGCAUCUGGACGAGGAUACACACAUCUACUGGUGGAUAGAGCGGGCGCCUCUCCCAUCUCCCUGUUCCAGCUGCCGCCGUCCUGUGGUUACCAUGUGAAGACUACCUGA